rnacentral:rRNA from 1 species
GACGAACGCUGGCGGCGUGCCUAAUACAUGCAAGUUGAGCGCUGAAGGUUGGUACUUGUACCAACUGGAUGAGCAGCGAACGGGUGAGUAACGCGUGGGGAAUCUGCCUUUGAGCGGGGGACAACAUUUGGAAACGAAUGCUAAUACCGCAUAAAAACUUUAAACACAAGUUUUAAGUUUGAAAGAUGCAAUUGCAUCACUCAAAGAUGAUCCCGCGUUGUAUUAGCUAGUUGGUGAGGUAAAGGCUCACCAAGGCGAUGAUACAUAGCCGACCUGAGAGGGUGAUCGCCCCCAUGGGAACGGGACCGCGCCCCAAACCCCUACGGGAGGGCGCAGUAGGGAAUUUUCGGCAGUGGGGGAAAUUUUGACCGAGCAACCCCGCGGGGGAGAAAAAGGUUUUGGGAGCGUAAAACCCGGUUUGGAGGAAAGAACCUGUGUGGGGGGGGAAGACGCCUCAGUGACGGUAAUCAACCAAAAAGGGCCGGCUAACUACCUG